UUAAAAUGCAGCCAGAGGAUGGAUCAAGAGAUCUGUAUCAAGAGGAUGGAUAGAAAGAAAGAGAGAGAGAGACUAAAGGUGUCAGCCGUGGGUCUGAGUGGUCUGAAGAGAAGGGUGGUGGGUGUGGGUCUGAGUGGUCUGAAGAGAAGGGUGGUAGGUGUGGGUCUGAAUGGUCUGAAUAGAAGGGUGGUAGGUGUGGGUCUGAGUGGUCUGAAGAGAAGGGUGGUAGGUGUAGGUCUGAGUGGUCUGAAGAGAAGGGUGGUAUGUGUGGGUCUGAAGAGAAGGGUGGUAGGUGUGGGUCUGAAGAGAAGGGUGGUAGGUGUGGGUCUGAGUGGUCUGAAGAGAAGGGUGGUAGGUGUGGGUCUGAGUGGUCUGAAGAGAAGGGUGGUAGGUGUGAAGGGUCUUUAUUUGGAGCUGCAAAGUAAAGAGAAUAGAACAAGUUUAGAAUUGUAUUUCACAGCUGUAUAUGUAGGACACUUAUUUUAAUCAAAUGUAACUGAGGAUUUAAAUGUACUUAAUUUGUAAGUGGAUUACAUCACAAAAACUACAGGUGGUGUACAAAAAUGUAAAGAAUGUGAAUGAUGGAUAACAAGAUGACCAUUGGAUAGAUACACAUUCACUGUGGAUGGGAGCAUUGCUGUCUGGUGGUCCCAAUUCAUCCAUUGUUUGGAAUUGUUUUCUCCACAAGAUCUAAAACUGUCUUUAGAAAGGCUUUGCAAAGACAAGUUGAACUAGAUCUAUUAAGGAGGGGUGUCAAACUCAUUCCACAGAGGGCCAAGUGUCUCUGCUGGUUUUUGGUUUUUCAUUUCAAUCAACACCUGGACAACCUAACCAGGUGAGGGGAGUUCCUUAGUCAUUUGUGACCUUCAUUUAUCAAUCAAGGGUGGAGCAAAAACCUGCAAACAC
rnacentral:lncRNA from 1 species